GACGAACGCUGGCGGCGUGCUUAACACAUGCAAGUCGAACGGAAAGGCCUUUUCGGAGGUACUCGAGUGGCGAACGGGUGAGUAACACGUGGGUGAUCUGCCCUGCACUCUGGGAUAAGCCUGGGAAACUGGGUCUAAUACCGGAUAGGACCGCACUUUAGUGUGUGUGGUGGAAAGUUUUUUCGGUGUAGGAUGAGCCCGCGGCCUAUCAGCUUGUUGGUGGGGUAAUGGCCUACCAAGGCGGCGACGGGUAGCCGGACUGAGAGGUUGGUCGGCCACAUUGGGACUGAGAUACGGCCCAGACUCCGACGGGAGGCAGCAGGGGGGAAUAUUGCACAAUGGGCGCAAGCCUGAUGCAGCGACGCCGCGUGGGGGAUGACGGCCUUCGGGUUGUAAACUCCUUUCGCCAGGGACGAAGCGUUUUGUGACGGUACCUGGAGAAGAAGCACCGGCUAACUACGUG
rnacentral:rRNA from 1 species